rnacentral:rRNA from 1 species
AGAGCGAACGCUGGCGGCAUGCUUAACACAUGCAAGUCUCACGGGCAGCAAUGUCAGUGGCGGACGGGUGAGUAACGCGUAGGUAUCUAUCCAUGGGUGGGGGAUAACGUCGGGAAACUGACGCUAAUACCGCAUGACAUCUGAGGAUCAAAGGCGCGAGUCGCCUGUGGAGGAGCCUGCGUACGAUUAGCUAGUUGGUGGGGUAAAGGCCUACCAAGGCUACGAUCGUUAGCUGGUCUGAGAGGAUGAUCAGCCACACUGGGACUGAGACACGGCCCAGACUCCUACGGGAGGCAGCAGUGGGGAAUAUUGGACAAUGGGCGAAAGCCUGAUCCAGCAAUGCCGCGUGUGUGAAGAAGGUCUUCGGAUUGUAAAGCACUUUCGGCGGGGUACGAUGAUGACGGUACCCGCAGAAGAAGCCCCGGCUAACUUCGUGCCAGCAGCCGCGGUAA